rnacentral:tRNA from 1 species
GUGGCAGUAGCUCAAUUGUAGAGCCUCGGGUUGUGAGUCCGAUUGUUGCGGGUUCGAGUCCCGUUUGCCACCCCA